UUUUGGACAAUGUGGGCAACCCUGAUCCAGCCAUGCCGCGUGAGUGAAGAAGGCCUUCGGGUUGUAAAGCUCUUUCGGACGGAACGGAAUGGGCGGGACUAAUACUCCUGUCUGAUGACGGUACCGUAAGAAGAAGCACCGGCUAACUACGUGCCAGCAGCCGCGGUAAUACGUAGGGUGCGAGCGUUAAUCGGAAUUACUGGGCGUAAAGCGUGCGCAGGCGGUUUCGUAAGCUGGAGGUGAAAUCCCCGGGCUUAACCUGGGAAUGGCCUUCAGGACUGCGAGGCUAGAGUGCGGCAGAGGGAGGUGGAAUUCCACGUGUAGCAGUGAAAUGCGUAGAGAUGUGGAGGAACACCGAUGGCGAAGGCAGCCUCCUGGGCCAGCACUGACGCUCAUGCACGAAA
rnacentral:rRNA from 1 species